CGUCAAGUACCAGUUUCCUCUGUGGACAACAUUUUCUGUGGCUGUGCUCAUCAGAAAAUGGGAAAGCAAGUGCCUGGACCAAGAUCUCUCUUCUAACCACCUUGGCAGGUUACCAGUUUGCUCUUCAGGAGGUCUGUUGACUGCCAGGCUCCAGGGAUAUGACUCUAAGGAGAGAGGUUACGUUUCCUACUUCAUGACUCAUGUUGCUGAUGUGAGAAGACCGGAGACAAACAUUUAAUUACAGUACAAUGUAACAACCACAGCAGCUGAGGCUUGGGAAGGCACUUGUCCUGCUACAAUGUAACAACCAAAGCAGCUGAGACU
ensembl:antisense Gm14507 predicted gene 14507